UCUGAGGAACUUAAUCAGGUGCAAAAAAAAAAUGGGAGUCAAAUUUAGGUGAGGAACUUCAGCGCUCUGUAAUAAUAAUAAUAAUAAUAAUAAUAAUAAUAAUACUAAUAAUAAUAAUAAUAAUAAUAAUAAUAAUAAUAAUAAUUAAUCAAUGAUUUUUAUUGAAGUGCCCAGGAACAACCUUGCGGUCUUAGUACAGGUGCACUUUCAGUAUUUUCAGUACGAUUACAGACCGCGAAAGCGGGGCCCCCUCGAUCCUUUUGACUUUAAGAGUUUUAAGCAAGAGGUGUCAGAAAAGUUACCACAGGGAUAACUGGCUUGUGGCGGCCCAAGCGUUCAAAGCGACGUCGCUUUUUGAUCCUUCGAUGUCGGCUUCUUCCUAUCAU
rnacentral:ncRNA from 1 species